AUUGAACGCUGGCGGCAGGCCUAACACAUGCAAGUCGAGCGGGCGGCGGACGAGUGAGUAAUGCCUGGGAGUUGCUCAGUCGGGGGGGCUAACAGUUGGACAAGACAGCUACUACCGCAUACGGUUGGAUUACACAGGUGGGAUUAGCUGGUUGGUGAGGUAAUGGCUCACCAAGGCGGCGAUCCCUAGCUGGUCUGAGAGGAUGAUCAGCCACACUGGAACUGAGACACGGUCCAGACUCCUACGGGAGGCAGCAGUGGGGAAUAUUGCACAAUGGGCGAAACCCUGAUGCAGCCAUGCCGCGUGUAUGAAGAAGGCCUUCGGGUUGUAAAGCACGUUCAGUGAGGAGGCGUUACUCGCAGAAGAAGCACCGGCUAACUCCGUGCCAGCAGCCGCGGUAAUUC
rnacentral:rRNA from 1 species